AUUUGUCCUGCAACCAACAAAGAGUCUACGUGUGCUUCCAAGUGUUGCACGCCGAGCUUGACUGCUUAACGUAGUCCCGCUAAUAGAGCCUCAUAUUCUGCCUCCUUGUUUGUGUUUUUGUAAUCGAGGCGGAUUGCAUAUGUAAGCUCUUGACCGUCGGGGCUGAAACAAUGGUUAACCGGGCAGGGUUAACUCACUGGUCUCGUCAAGAAGGGUUAAUCCCUUCCUCUCGAGGAUUGCUGGCUGGAUCACCGGUGGGUUGAUCUCCUGCACAAGGAAACAAACCGUGACUCGUAACAAGGAGGAUGGGGUGGGGGGUGCUCCUUGUUACCACUCUCCAGCGUGAGAAUCAGUAAUCUGCUUGGGAAGCAAAGUAUGAUAGUAGUAGUAGUGAGAGAGUUGUGAAGAGAUACCUCAAACCUGGUUUGGGGUUGGUAUUUAUAGCCGAGGAGUGAAGGAGGAGGAUGAGGACAGACUGACGACGUGCUGCACCUUUGCAGGUGUGUCAGGCUUGUCGGGUGUGGAGGAUCCGCCACGUCAGUCUGUUGCUUACGUAGUCCUGACAGAUGACUGUCAUUGGCGCUACUUGCACUGGUGUGUCAGUCCCACUUGUUGGGCGUAUAGGAUGCGGUGCGAGCCGCAUUUCUGCCUGCGGUAACAUCUGAUGUUAUCGCGUCUCUUGCUUGUGAUCAAGAAAUACGCGAGAUGCGGUGCUAGCCGCAUCGUCGCCUGUGGUGACUGUUGCUGUUAUCCAGCUUCCUUGUAUUGAUAGAAGUGUUCACUGGACGCGGUGCUAGGCCGCAUCGCUGUGAAUACUUCUGUUUUCAUACACCAGAUGUGAUGCUAUGCCGCAUCACUCUACCGUUCUAACAUUCCAGGUAAGUCCUCCAUCACUGGACAGAUUGGAUUCAACCACUGUGUCGAUGCGUUCCCGCACGGACAUAAGUAGGUUGUUUAGCUAGUGGGGGUUUUGAUAAGGGUAAUGGUCACUCGCGGUCGAUGCUGACGCGAGAUCUGGGACCAUACCCCUUCGAGAACCGAAAUGAAUCGUUACAAAUGAUAGUUUUUGAAAUUACUCAUUUUGCUCCCAAUCCAAACCCAUUUUGACCUGAACAUAUCCUGGCCCGUGACCCCAACCCGCCCGACACACCCAAUUUUCCAGUCAUCAUUUGGAGUAUCCUCAUUGCUUUUUCUGUGGAUUUGGAAUUAUUGAAGAGUAGACGUGUUUGUUUGGAGACAUUUUCAGUUUUGAAUUAUCUUUUGUUUUAUUUUCUUAAAUUCCAUUAUAUUUAAUGUUUGGAGAGAACUGUUAUAAAAUAUGUUGAUUCAACAAAACAUGCUUGGAGAUGAAUUGUAA
rnacentral:lncRNA from 1 species